GUAACAAGGUUUCCGUAGGUGAACCUGCGGAAGGAUCAUUACUGAGUGCGGGCUGCCUCCGGGCGCCCAACCUCCCACCCGUGACUACCUAACACUGUUGCUUCGGCGGGGAGCCCUCUCGGGGGCGAGCCGCCGGGGACUACUGAACUUCAUGCCUGAGAGUGAUGCAGUCUGAGUCUGAAUAUAAAAUCAGUCAAAACUUUCAACAAUGGAUCUCUUGGUUCCGGCAUCGAUGAAGAACGCAGCGAACUGCGAUAAGUAAUGUGAAUUGCAGAAUUCAGUGAAUCAUCGAGUCUUUGAACGCACAUUGCGCCCCCUGGCAUUCCGGGGGGCAUGCCUGUCCGAGCGUCAUUGCUGCCCAUCAAGCCCGGCUUGUGUGUUGGGUCGUCGUCCCCCCCGGGGGACGGGCCCGAAAGGCAGCGGCGGCACCGUGUCCGGUCCUCGAGCGUAUGGGGCUUUGUCACCCGCUCGAUUUAGGGCCGGCCGGGCGCCAGCCGACGUCCAACCAUUUUUCUUCAGGUUGACCUCGGAUCAGGUAGGGAUACCCGCUGAACUUAAGCAUAUCAAUAA
rnacentral:misc_RNA from 1 species